CGAAUCGUUAUGAGCGAUGGAGGGACGCAGGAGGCUAGCAGCGCGUGGUGCUGGAUACCACGUUCAAGCGUCAAGUCUGAGAGCGAGUCAAUGCUUGCUCUCAUAAGGACAAGGCGUGAUGAGGAGCGAAAUUAAAGUAGCGAAGGCUGCGACGUCACCACUGCCGAGAAAAGCUUCUAGCCAGAGACGGUGCACCCGUACCGCAAACCGACACAGGUAGUCGAGGAGAGUAUCCUCAGGUGAGCGAGA
rnacentral:rRNA from 1 species